CCUGCCCCAGAGGCAUUGCAGGUUUGAGUACUGUGUCACAUGUGUCAGUAGGUGGCAGAGAGGAGAAAGUCUAUGUCAACACUCAGUGCUCUGACCUAUGAACAUCUCAAUGAUUAGUAACCUAAUAUU